rnacentral:rRNA from 1 species
CGGGACGGGUGAGUAAUGCUUGGGAAUCUAGCUUAUGGAGGGGGAUAACUACGGGAAACUGUAGCUAAUACCGCGUAGUAUCGGAAGAUGAAAGUGUGGGACCUUCGGGCAACAUGCCAUAGGAUGAGCCCAAGUGGGGUUAGGUAGUUGGUGAGGUAAAGGCUCACCAAGCCGACGAUCUCUAGCUGGUCUGAGAGGAUGACCAGCCACACUGGGACUGAGACACGGCCCAG